GCGCUUGUAGCUCAGGGGAUAGAGCGAAUGGUUGCGGACCAUUAGGUCGGGGGUUCGAUU
rnacentral:tRNA from 1 species